rnacentral:rRNA from 1 species
UAAACGACUCUCGGCAACGGAUAUCUCGGCUCUCGCAUCGAUGAAGAACGUAGCGAAAUGCGAUACUUGGUGUGAAUUGCAGAAUCCCGUGAACCAUCGAGUCUUUGAACGCAAGUUGCGCCCGAAGCCAUUCGGCCGAGGGCACGCCUGCCUGGGCGUCACGCA